AAAGGAAUAGACGGGGGCCCGCACAAGCAGCGGAGCAUGUGGUUUAAUUCGAAGCAACGCGAAGAACCUUACCAAGGCUUGACAUCCUCUGACGAACGUAGAGAUACGUUUUCCCUUCGGGGCAGAGUGACAGGUGGUGCAUGGUUGUCGUCAGCUCGUGUCGUGAGAUGUUGGGUUAAGUCCCGCAACGAGCGCAACCCUUAUCACUAGUUGCCAGCGGUUCGGCCGGGAACUCUAGUGAGACUGCCGGGGACAACUCGGAGGAAGGUGGGGACGACGUCAAAUCAUCAUGCCCCUUAUGUCUUGGGCUACACACGUGCUACAAUGGCCGGUACAAAGGGCUGCGAUGCCGUAAGGUUGAGCGAAUCUCAAAAAGCCGGUCCCAGUUCGGAUUGUGGGCUGCAACCCGCCCACAUGAAGUCGGAGUUGCUAGUAAUCGCGAAUCAGCAUGUCGCGGUGAAUGCGUUCCCGGGCCUUGUACACACCGCCCGU
rnacentral:rRNA from 1 species